GACGAACGCUGGCGGCGUGCUUAACACAUGCAAGUCGAACGGAAAGGCCCUGCUUUUGUGGGGUGCUCGAGUGGCGAACGGGUGAGUAACACGUGAGUAACCUGCCCUUGACUUUGGGAUAACUUCAGGAAACUGGGGCUAAUACCGGAUAGGAGCUCCUGCUGCAUGGUGGGGGUUGGAAAGUUUCGGCGGUUGGGGAUGGACUCGCGGCUUAUCAGCUUGUUGGUGGGGUAGUGGCUUACCAAGGCUUUGACGGGUAGCCGGCCUGAGAGGGUGACCGGCCACAUUGGGACUGAGAUACGGCCCAGACUGCUACGGGAGGCAGCAGUGGGGAAUAGUGCACGAUGGGCGGAGGCCGGAUGCAGCAACGCCGCGUGCGGGAUGACGGCCUGCGGGUUGUAAACCGCUUGCGCCUGUGACGAAGCGUGAGUGACGGUAAUGGGUAAAGAAGCACCGGCUAACUACGUG
rnacentral:rRNA from 1 species